AUGCACGCUGGCGGCGUGCCUAAUACAUGCAAGUCGAGCGAACGGACGAGAAGCUUGCUUCUCUGAUGUUAGCGGCGGACGGGUGAGUAACACGUGGAUAACCUACCUAUAAGACUGGGAUAACUUCGGGAAACCGGAGCUAAUACCGGAUAAUAUUUUGAACCGCAUGGUUCAAAAGUGAAAGACGGUCUUGCUGUCACUUAUAGAUGGAUCCGCGCUGCAUUAGCUAGUUGGUAAGGUAACGGCUUACCAAGGCAACGAUGCAUAGCCGACCCGAGAGGGUGAUCGGCCACACUGGAACUGAGACACGGUCCAGACUCCUACGGGAGGCAGCAGUAGGGAAUCUUCCGCAAUGGGCGAAAGCCUGACGGAGCAACGCCGCGUGAGUGAUGAAGGUCUUCGGAUCGUAAAACUCUGUUAUUAGGGAAGAACAUAUGUGUAAGUAACUGUGCACAUCUUGACGGUACCUAAUCAGAAAGCCACGGCUAACUACGUG
rnacentral:rRNA from 1 species